GGGAGUUGGAACUUUCCAUAGACACACCCAUCUUUAAAACAAGAAUAUUCCCAUCAUUUCUAGGUUGUACCAAUUUUUGUUAAAUCCUAUCAGUGGUAGGAUACAAAGUGCAUAAAUGGUAAAAUAGAAUAUCUAGUGGGAAAAUUUGAGCAUGACUCUGGAAAAUUUGACAUCUCCCAUCUUCCAAUUUGAAAUUCUCAUACAGCCUACUAAAUCAUUCCACCUUACAGUUCAAUCAUACUAAAAUCACAUGGAAACAAAAGAAUAUGCAGACAAGUCGUGUAAAGAAAAUUAACAGUGUGUGCACAGAUUCAAAGGGAAGAGAAUA
rnacentral:misc_RNA from 1 species